UCUACGGGAGGCAGCAGUGGGGAAUAUUGGACAAUGGGCGAAAGCCUGAUCCAGCCAUGCCGCGUGUGUGAAGAAGGCCUUCGGGUUGUAAAGCACUUUCAGUGGGGAAGAAAGCCUUGGGGCUAAUACCCUCGAGGAAGGACAUCACCCACAGAAGAAGCACCGGCUAACUCCGUGCCAGCAGCCGCGGUAAUACGGAGGGUGCGAGCGUUAAUCGGAAUUACUGGGCGUAAAGCGCGCGUAGGCGGUCUGAUAAGCCGGUUGUGAAAGCCCCGGGCUCAACCUGGGAACGGCAUCCGGAACUGUCAGGCUAGAGUGCAGGAGAGGAAGGUAGAAUUCCCGGUGUAGCGGUGAAAUGCGUAGAGAUCGGGAGGAAUACCAGUGGCGAAGGCGGCCUUCUGGACUGACACUGACGCUGAGGUGCGAAAGCGUGGGUAGCAAACAGGAUUAGAUACCCGGGUAGU
rnacentral:rRNA from 1 species